AUCUAUACUAUAUGCAUAUAUGGCAGGUGGGGUUAUAAGUUUUUUUAGCGAAAAGCAAGUUUUCUCCUACAUCAAGAGAGGGCUAAAAGCAAAAUGUUACUACAAAGGUUGGUUGUUAACAAGAUGGUUCCGCCAACCAGUUCUCGUACCCGAGUUGUCAAUAAUUACCCUCAUCAAAUAUAUAUAAUGGUGUUGAAAAAUCCAGAUAACUUCAGUUCCUUUGGCUCAAGUUGUCCAUGACCGUGGACACGGCUAAUCGAUUAGGUUUGAGUA
rnacentral:lncRNA from 1 species